GAGUGCCCUUGAGGUACAACAUAGCCUGCGGGGUCCAGUUUCUCCGUUGGAAAGAGCCCUUUAAUGAAGAAACAAAGAAAAUGAUUUUGCUUCAUCUAAGAGCUGUACAUUUUAUGCUUAGGCUUUGUAAUCCUGCCCUGUUAGCUAACAAUUCAUUCACUUCAUUUUCAGAGAAGAGAAAUAAAGCAGCUUUACCUUCGGUGCACUCCACGACUGUGCAAUAAAGGACGCCAGUAGUAAAAGGAGAAGAGCUUAUGAACAUCAGGAGAACAACUCCAGCGGAUAUAGUUCCCACUUUUCUCAGGUCAUCAGUGGAAUUAUUGGACAUUUUGGUGAAGGGCUCUCUCGCUGUUGUUCAGGAGAGGAAAACGAGCUGGGUCGCUCGUGCGUCUUCGCGAUCUCCGCAGUACACAUUGGACAAAAUUCCACAAAUGUGUAAAAAGGAAGUUACAAAUG